rnacentral:rRNA from 1 species
ACGGCUCAGUAACACGUGGAUAACCUGCCCUAUGGUGGAGAAUAACCCCGGGAAACUGGGGAUAAUACUCCAUAGAUUAGAGAUACUGGAAUGUUCUUUAAUCGAAAGUUGAGGCGCCAUAGGAUGGAUCUGCGGUCGAUUAGGUUGUUGUUGGGGUAACGGCCCAACAAGCCUGUAAUCGAUACGGGUUGUGGGAGCAAGAGCCCGGAGAUGGAAUCUGAGACACGAUUCCAGGCCCUACGGGGCGCAGCAGGCGCGAAAACUUUACAAUGCAGGAAACUGUGAUAAGGGAACCCCGAGUGCCCGUAUACGCGGGCUGUCCAGGUGUCUAAAAAGCAUCUGAAGAAAGGGCCGGGCAAGACCGGUGCCAGCCGCCGCGGUAAUACCGGCGGCUCGAGUGGUGGCCACUAUUAUUGGGCUUAAAGCGUCCGUAGCUGGACUCUUAAGUCUCUUGGGAAAUCCGCCGGCUUAACCGACGGGCGUCUAAGAGAUACUGAGAGUCUAGGGACCGGGAGAGGUGAGAGGUACUCCGGGGGUAGGAGUGAAAUCCUGUAAUCCCCGGGGGACCACCGAUGGCGAAGGCAUCUCACCAGAACGGCUCCGACAGUGAGGGACGAAAGCUGGGGGAGCGAACCGGAUUAGAUACCCGGGUAGUCCCAGCCGUAAACUAUGCGCGUUAGGUGUACUGGUGACCACGAGUCACUGGGGUGCCGAAGGGAAACCGUGAAACGUGCCGCCUGGGAAGUACGGUCGCAAGGCUGAAGCUUAAAGGAAUUGGCGGGGGAGCAC